rnacentral:tRNA from 1 species
GGGGUCGUAGUCUAGCCAGGUAUGACGACGGGCUCCAGACCCGUAGGAACAGCUUGACGCUGUUUCGGGUAAAGGUCGUCGGUUCAACUCCGACCGACCCCACCA